GCAAUUAUUAUAAAAUCAUUUUAAAACCCUGUGUUACUUAAGUCAAUAUGUAAUAUGUGAUGGUAGAGUAUGAGUUUCUUAUUCUUGAUAUCAUUGUUGCUUGGAGAAUUUAUUUCAAAAUAUUCAAAAUUCUAGCUACCAUCCUCAGUGUUUUAUAUGCCUGAUAAAAAUAAAAAUAUUAAUGAUGAUUAUAAAGCUAUCUACUUUGUAUUGAGUUUGUUCAAAAUGAGUUAGACCCUUGUUGAGAGAUUUAUCAUGCUCCUAAGAUCAAGACAUUAUUUCAGAAAGAUUCACUCUUUCGAAGUAUUAUUGCAUUAGAGGCAUGGGCUAUGCAAAAAAAUAAAAAUAUUUUGAGGAAAUAAAAAGGAGCAAGUGCUCGACAACCUCGCAGAAAAAAUGGACAAGUGUCCGGCAGUAGAAUUAGGGGUACCUCAGUAUCCACUUAAAAAAAUGAUGAUAGCCCGUGGUCCCUCUAAUAAGCAAUAUGCCAGUAAGAGUUGACAAAAGUUUUUAAUUUCCAAAG
rnacentral:lncRNA from 1 species